CGUGAUCGGUUACGUACCUUUGAAAUACUCUCGCAUUUAAACUUUCAUUAAAUAAUUUGCAUUACAAAAGGUAAAAACGCAAAAUUCAAGGAACUGGUGUAGGUCUGUGCCAACAUCAUUGGUAAACCUUACGGUAGAAGGAAGACUAGAUGCGACGAGAGAUGAAGGCGGCCCCGAUACCCUACGGAUUUCUCUAAGGGAACGUCGUCCCCCCAGGUGGAUGAAUAAUUACGAGACAGAACAGAGGAGCAGUGAUCUUUAGAUCAGGGGUGGUGGUGGCGUAUGGUGGAAGCAAGACUGGAAGCGACGAGAGAUGACGUCACGUCAGCAAGUGAGAAGAAAAGUUUUCCCCUGCGUUUGGUUUUUCUUGGGGACGCUAGUAACAGACGCCAGUCGUAAAGAGACAGAGGUCAUGGCAACGCUGGUGAAAAAUUAAUCAGUCUGACGGCGGCACAGGAUUACAAGUCGAGGUACAAGGCCUGAAUUUUUUUGGGGAGGGGCCAGUCAAUUUGAUCAACCACAGUACGCAACUGGUACAUAAUUUAUCAACCCUGAAAGGAUAAAAGGCGAAGUCAACCUUGGCAGAAUUUGAACUCAGAAUGUAAAGACAGAUGAAAUACUGCUAUGUGUUUAACCGCCUUUAAAGUAUCACAUUAUUGAAAUAUCAAAGAUCUGAAUACCACCUGAUGAAUGUCCUUAGAAGAGACACGAAACAAUUGUAGUGGCG
rnacentral:lncRNA from 1 species